CGUGAGGCGGAGCAAACAACAAACACAGUCUCAGUUCAGAUUGUAGGCUGAAACUCGCCUAUAUGAAGUCGGAAUUGCUAGUAAUCGCGGAUCAGCAUGCCGCGGUGAAUACGUUCCCGGGCCUUGUACACACCGCCCGUCACACCAUGAGAGUCGAUAACACCCGAAGCCUGUAGUCUAACAGCAAUGAGGACGCAGUCGAAGGUGGGAUUGAUAAUUAGGGUGAAGUCGUAACAAGGUAUC
rnacentral:rRNA from 1 species